AAAACCCCGACUUCGGAAGGGGUGUGUUUAUUAGAUAAAAAACCAAUGCCCUUCGGGGCUCUUUGGUGAUUCAUGAUAACCUAACGGAUCGCAUGGCCUUGCGCCGGCGACGGUUCAUUCAAAUUUCUGCCCUAUCAACUUUCGAUGGUAAGGUAUUGGCUUACCAUGGUUUCAACGGGUAACGGGGAAUUAGGGUUCGAUUCCGGAGAGGGAGCCUGAGAAACGGCUACCACAUCCAAGGAAGGCAGCAGGCGCGCAAAUUACCCAAUCCCGACACGGGGAGGUAGUGACAAUAAAUACUGAUACAGGGCUCUUUUGGGUCUUGUAAUUGGAAUGAGUACAAUUUAAACCCCUUAACGAGGAACAAUUGGAGGGCAAGUCUGGUGCCAGCAGCCGCGGUAAUUCCAGCUCCAAUAGCGUAUAUUAAAGUUGUUGCAGUUAAAAAGCUCGUAGUUGAAACUUGGGUCUGGCUAGCGGGUCCGCCUCACCGCGUGCACUUGUCCGGCUGGACCUUUCCUUCUGGAGAACCUCAUGCCCUUCACUGGGUGUGUUGGGGAACCAGGACUUUUACUUUGAAAAAAUUAGAGUGUUCAAAGCAGGCCUUUGCUCGAAUACGUUAGCAUGGAAUAAUAGAAUAGGACGUGCGGUCCUAUUUUGUUGGUUUCUAGGAUCGCCGUAAUGAUUAAUAGGGAUAGUCGGGGGCAUCAGU
rnacentral:rRNA from 1 species